CGCUAGAAGAAGUAACUUUUAGUAAUACCUGCCCAGUGCGAAAUAUUAAUGUAAACGGCCGCCCUAGCGUGAGGGUGCUAAGGUAGCGAAAUUCCUUGCCUUUUGAUUGUAGGCCUGCAUGAAUGGUUUAACGAGGGUUUAGCUGUCUCUAAAUUUUUAAUUGAAAUUGUAUUGAAGGUGAAGAUACCUUCAUUUAAAAGUUAGACAAAAAGACCCCGUGCAACUUUGAAAAUUAACUUUAUUCAGGGGUAAAAGAUUUUUAGGUGGGGCGCCUAGAAAGUAAGCCUAACCUUUCUGAGUAGGAGUUUCUUUCAGGAGUUGACCCGAUUAUAUUCGAUCAUAGGAGAAGUUACGCCGGGGAUAACAGGCUAAUCCUUUAGUAGAGCUCGUAUUGGCUAAAGGGAUUGGCACCUCGAUGUUGAAUCAGGGAUGAUAGCUUCAAGGCGUAGAGGCUUUGAGAGUAGGUCUGUUCGACCUUUAAUACCCU
rnacentral:rRNA from 2 species